rnacentral:lncRNA from 1 species
UUAGGAAUCUUUCCCUGAAAUUAACAAAGGACGUUGAUCAAGAAGCCAGGUGUUCCCACAUCAGCCGAAUGCCCAACAGUCCAUCUGCGGAUUGGCCUCUACAAGGUGUGGAAGAAAACGGAGGCAUAGAUUCUCUGCCAUUCAGACUGAUGUUACAGGACUGCACGGCAGUCAAGACGUUAUUAUUAAAGAUGAAGAGAGUUCUUCAAGAGUUUUCUUCAUGAAUCCAGCAUUAAUGUUUCACUUGUAAAACAACUCACAUACUUUUGUGUGAUUCGAUGGGCUAAAUCCGACAUUAAGAAUUUCAAGCUGCAACAUAACAGGUAUACAGCAGACGGCACCCUGCAGAAUCUCCAAGGAAUACUUGAGUCGUCAGCGCUUCUGAUGGGUUUUGGAAAAAGACAGUGAGCAGAGAAUCACUUAAGCAAAGUGGAAAAGCCGUAAUUGUGUUCCUCUGAGACACAUUUUUACUGAAAUUAUGUUUUGUUUUUGUUUGAAAAUCAGAAUCAAAGGCAUAUUUAACUACAGUUAAAAUAGCUGUUUUUAAUGAGUGAUUCUAUCAAAUAUGAUGUUACAACUUUAGAUAACAUAAUGCAAUUUCUUAAAAGUAGUAUGAAUCUAAUAAUAUUCACAUGUUUACAGAUGAGCAAAAGUGUUUCAGAAUCUAGUGACUCGUUUAGCUGGAAUGCACUUAUUCCUUAACUGUAUCAUUUUAACCUUGAUAAAAUUGAAAACUUGUGGAAA